GACGAACGCUGGCGGCGUGCUUAACACAUGCAAGUCGAGCGGAGCGGCGAACGGGUGAGUAACGCGUGAGUAACUGCCCCCCUCUCUGGGAUCACAGUUGGAAACGGCUGCUAAUACCGGAUAGUGGGGGAUGAUUCGCGUCCUAUCAGCUUGUUGGUGGGGUAGGGGCCUACUACGGCGACGACGGGUAGCCGGCCUGGGAGGGCGACCGGCCACAUGGGGCUGAGAUACGGCGCAAACUCGUACGGGAGGCAGCAGUGGGGAAUAUUGCACAAUGGGGGAAACCCUGAUGCAGAAACGCCGCGUGCGGGAUGACGGCCUGCGGGUGAUAAACAGCUUUCAGCCAUGACGCGGUAGUGGCAGAAGAAGCACCGGCUAACUACGUGCCAGCAGCCGCGGUAAUUC
rnacentral:rRNA from 1 species